CGCUGGCGGCGUGCCUAAUACAUGCAAGUUGAACGCUUGAUUUUCACCGAAGCUUGCUUCACCGAAAUCAAGAGUAGCGAACGGGUGAGUAACGCGUGGGUAACCUACCUAUCAGCGGGGGAUAACUAUUGGAAACGAUAGCUAAUACCGCAUAACAAUGUUGGAUGCAUAUUCGACAUUUGAAAGUACCAACUGGUACACUGAGAGAUGGACCGCGUUGUAUUAGCUAGUUGGUAGUGUAAUGGACUACCAAGGCGAUGAUACAUAGCCGACCUGAGAGGGUGAUCGGCCACAUUGGGACUGAGACACGGCCCAAACUCCUACGGGAGGCAGCAGUAGGGAAUCUUCGGCAAUGGACGAAAGUCUGACCGAGCAACGCCGCGUGAGUGAAGAAGGUUUUCGGAUCGUAAAACUCUGUUGUUAGAGAAGAACGUUGCAUAGAGUGGAAAAUUAUGCAAGUGACGGUAUCUAACCAGAAAGGGACGGCUAACUACGUG
rnacentral:rRNA from 1 species